GAAAACAGAAUAGUUCUCAGCCUCCCAGCCUCCCAGCUUCCUUUCAUCUGCCUCCUCCUCUUUCUCUCUGCUAUUUUUUUAUUUUUAUUUUUAUAUUUUGGUUCUUUUUUCGUGAUAAAAAUGGAGGAAAAGAAAUGUGGUGAGUGCUAUCGUGCGCCUCUUGAUGAAGCCCGGAUCCCAUUAAUUUGGAUUUUAGGGUUUUAUGUUCUUAAUAUAAAGAACGAGGAGGCAAAUUUGGUGCAGGAAUGUUGAGUCGCUUUGCCUUUGAAUUCUUACCGGGCUCAGUGAAUAACACCCUGCCAAAUCCCCUCUUCUUUUUCUUUAUUCUUUUUUCUUUUUUCAUCCGGUUUUAUUUUAUUUUUUUGUUUCGUUUUGCAUCUGAUAUUUUAUGAAACGGAUUUUAUUGAAGAAUUUUG
rnacentral:lncRNA from 1 species